AUUGAACGCUGGCGGCAGGCCUAACACAUGCAAGUCGAACGAGUGGCGGACGGGUGAGUAAUGUCUGGGAAACUGCCCGAUGGAGGGGGAUAACUACUGGAAACGGUAGCUAAUACCGCAUACCAUCGGAUGUGCCCAGAUGGGAUUAGCUAGUUGGUGGGGUAAUGGCUCCCCUAGGCGACGAUCCCUAGCUGGUCUGAGAGGAUGACCAGCCACACGGGAACUGAGACACUGUCCAGACGCCUACGGGAGGCAGGAGGGGGGAAUAUUGCACAAUGGGAGCAAGCCGGAUGCAGCCAUGCCGCGUGUAUGAAGAAGGCCUUAGGGUUGUAAAGUACUUUAAGUGAGGAGGCGUUACUCGCAGAAGAAGCACCGGCUAACUCCGUGCCAGCAGCCGCGGUAAUUC
rnacentral:rRNA from 1 species